rnacentral:lncRNA from 10 species
GCCAGGCCAACAUGGUGAAAGCCCUUCUCUACUAAAUAUACAAAAAUUAGCUGGGUGUGGUGGCAGGCACCUGUGCUCCCAGCUACUUGGGAGGCUGAGGUAGGAGAAUUCCUUGAACCUGGGAGGCAGAGGCUGCAGUAAGCUGAGAUUGCACCACAGCACUCCAGCCUGGGUGACAAGGCGAGACUCCACUUCAAAAAAAAUAAUAAUAAACUAAAAAAAUAAAAUAGUGAUUUUUAUGUAGUGCAAAUCUCACCUCAGUAAAAAAAUUUUAAAAUGACAGUUGUCCCUGCCCCUCAUCCCCAGGCAUCCUGGGACACUCCCCCAUCCAUAGGGGCUGCUAGGUGAGGUGACUCCUUUCCUUCCCCUUCUGCCUGUUUUCUCCCCUCUUAAACUUCAGAGGGUUUGGGACCCGCAGUGGAUUUUAAGCCAGAGGCUACUACAGGGUAGUUCCAGGCAUGGUGGCUGGCAGGGCUGUAGCCCACUGCUGGGACCAAAGGCAUGCCUCUGUGGCUUCUCCAGAGGCCAGUUCCUGUAUUUUCAUGAGAUCUCGUCGAGCAAGCUCUAGUGAGGUGCCAGGGACGUCUUGUUCAGAGGGUGGGCCCUAUAUCCAACAGCUGGUGUGCUUAUAAGAAGAGGAGACAUGGAGGCAUUCACAGAGGGGAGACGGCUGUGGGAAGACAGAGACAGAGAGUGGGGUGAUGUGGCCACCAGCCGGGGAACGCCUGGAGCCCCCAGAAGCUGGAAGAGGCCAGGAAGGAUUCUUUCUUAAAGGCUUCAGAGGGAUUGUGGCCCACUGAUAUCUUGAUUUUGGACUUCUCGACUCCUG